GGCGAAGUAGCUCAGUCGGUUAGAGCAACGGCUUCAUAAGCCGUGUGUCGCCGGUUCGAGUCCGGCCUUUAGAGCAACGGCUUCAUAAGCCGUGUGUCGCCGGUUCGAGUCCGGCCUUCGCUA
rnacentral:tRNA from 1 species